CAGAGGGGAGGCGGGAGGGACGGCCGGAGAGAACUGGGGACCGUAAUGUGCACAGUUCACUUACAUUAAGUACCUUCACACUGGUGUGCAGCCGUCACCAACCACCGCCAUCACUUUCCAUCUUCCCAAACUGAAACUGUCCCCGUUAAGAACGACCUCCCCUACAUGUGACUCUAUGAGGCUGACUAUUCUCGGGACCUCAUGUGAGUGAAUCUCUUCUGUGACUGGCUUAUUUCACUGAGCAUCAUGUCCUCGAAGCCCGUCUGCACUGCAGCCUGUGUCCGUUCCCUCCCAUUGCAAGGAUACCACCUCCGUUCAUCAUCCGUAGAUGGACACACAGUUGCUGCUUCCACCUCUCCGCUAUCGUGAAUAAUGCUAUGGACAUGAGUAUGCAAAUCCAUCUUGCAUUCCCUGCUCUCACUUCUUUAGGGCAUAUACCAGAAGUGGAAUUCUGGAUCGUGUUUGCAAGUUUUGAAGUUAGGAAGUGACAUGAUCUGCUUUACAUUUUAAAAACCACUCUGGAUCUUGGAGAAUGAAUCUAGUCUCUAGAAAUGACUGAUCUCUUUUUUUAAACAUGGUGUCUGGAACCUGUACAUUUACGUAUUCUUCUAGAAGGUUGCUUACUAAAACAAUAGUAAAAAGAUUUAAAAAGGAAAAAAAAAAA